GACGAACGCUGGCGGCGUGCCUAAUACAUGCAAGUUGAGCGCUGAAGGUUGGUACUUGUACCAACUGGAUGAGCAGCGAACGGGUGAGUAACGCGUGGGGAAUCUGCCUUUGAGCGGGGGACAACAUUUGGAAACGAAUGCUAAUACCGCAUAAAAACUUUAAACACAAGUUUUAAGUUUGAAAGAUGCAAUUGCAUCACUCAAAGAUGAUCCCGCGUUGUAUUAGCUAGUUGGUGAGGUAAAGGCUCACCAAGGCGAUGAUACAUAGCCGACCUGAGAGGGUGGUCGGCCACAUUGGGACUGAGACACGGCCCCAACUCCUACGGGAGGCAGCAGUAGGGAAUCUUCGGCAAUGGACGAAAGUCUGACCGAGCAACGCCGCGUGAGUGAAGAAGGUUUUCGGAUCGUAAAACUCUGUUGGUAGAGAAGAACGUUGGUGAGAGUGGAAAGCUCAUCAAGUGACGGUAACUACCCAGAAAGGGACGGCUAACUACGUG
rnacentral:rRNA from 1 species